rnacentral:rRNA from 1 species
UACGUAGGGUGCAAGCGUUAAUCGGAAUUACUGGGCGUAAAGCGUGCGCAGGCGGUUAUGUAAGACAGAUGUGAAAUGCCCGGGCUUAACCUGGGAACUGCAUUUGUGACUGCAUGGCUAGAGUUUUGCAGAGGGGGGUAGAAUUCCACGUGUAGCAGUGAAAUGCGUAGAUAUGUGGAGGAACACCUGUGGCGAAGGCGGCUUUCUGGGCCUUACCUGACGCUGAGACGCGAAAGCGUGGGGAGCGAACCGG